AUCUUUACGGAGGGCGAAGGCACUUCCGGAGCAUUUUUGGAAAGGGGGAGGUGCUUUCCUAGUGGCCAAAUGACUUGUGGGGGGACCACAGUCUGGAGGUGGAGGCUGGCCUGCCUCCUGGCUGGAGGAAGAUCCACGAUGCUGCAGGUACUUACUACUGGCAUGUACCCAGCGGUAGCACCCAGUGGCAGCGCCCAACCUGGGAACUAGGAGAUGCAGAGGACCCAGGCACGGGAACGGAGGGGAUCUGGGGACUGCGGCCCCCCAAAGGGAGAUCCUUCUCCAGCCUGGAGAGUUCACUGGACCGGAGUAACUCUCUGUCCUGGUAUGGUGGGGAAUCCUACAUCCAGAGCAUGGAGCCAGGGGCUAAGUGCUUUGCAGUCCGCUCUCUGGGCUGGGUAGAGGUACCUGAAGAGGACCUGGCACCGGGGAAGAGCAGUAUUGCAGUCAAUAACUGUAUCCAGCAGCUGGCCCAGACCCGCAGCCGGAGCCAGCCUCCAGAUGGUGCCUGGGGUGAGGGCCAGAACAUGCUGAUGAUCCUGAAGAAGGAUGCCAUGAGCCUAGUGAAUCCCC
rnacentral:lncRNA from 1 species